GACUCUCCAUGCGGGAAGGGGAUAACAUCAACAAGGGGAAGGGGGCAACGUGACGCCUCUCAAAGACAGGCUCUCAGGAUUAUCCCGCUCACACUGAUAGUCCUUCAGUGACUCGUACUGUUGGUGUCAAUCUGAUUCUAUCCUUGCUCUCUCUAUUUUCAAACUACAGAAGGAGCAGAAGCAUGUGAAACGUUAUGAGAACAAGAACAGUGCCAAUUUUGUGACUGGACUAGACAUAACAUCGAAGGAAGCUCGCCAGAAAAGAGCAGACAGAGCCAAAAGAUUUGGCACAGCAAGCAAAGAUAAAGCUGGAGAGGAGAAGGAGGAGCAGGAGGAGGAUAUAUCAAACGUUAUAUUAGCUCCAGGAUCUAAAAUAGAUGGUAGUUUAGUUCGUCUAGAAGCAAUUCAUAUGAUAGGAGUGGAUGACAUGAGUACUCAGGAUAUCUUCAGCUAUUUCCAAAGCUACGAUCCAUCCUCGAUAGAAUGGAUCAAUGACACAUCAUGUAAGUACAUAUUCA